UGGACGGUUUGGACCACGGGAAAAUUCGGGUACACAACCUAGUACAUCAAAGCAGGACCCCGGUAAGAGUACAUCAAAGCAGGACCCCGGUAACCACCGCUCCAGUACAGUCGGAUGCCAAACAGACCGUACACAGACUGUUUCUGUGGGAACUCAACAGAGGGCUGAGACACGGUCUGUGGGAACUCUACAGAGGACUGAGGCACAGCCUGUGGGAACACAGACAGUGCAAUUGAAAGUGUCAGUUGCUACACAGUUGUCCCGGGGAACACUGAAGUCGGCACACGUGAGGAGCAAAGGCAUCCAGGCCACAGUGUCUUUACAAAAUGUUGGCACUUCCACCGACCCAGAAUUCCCCUUAGCCUCUACACCAAUAAAGGGCUCAGGAUUGGGACCUAGCAAAAGACCUCGACUGGAGUUGGAGGAGGAACAAGGAGAGACUUCGACUUACCACCCUGAUGAUACUGUAGAAGAAUCUGACGUAUCACUUCAGACACGAUCCACGCACAGUGACGCAAACUACAUUGUUUUUGAAAGCUGCCUCGGACAGCUGUUUGAAAAAUGUCCGGUGUGUAACACAGACUGUGAUGUCCAAAACCGAAAAAUUGGGACUUCUGUGGCGUUCACACAGCGUUGUCCAAACUGCAGUUACUUCAGACAAUGGGAGAGCCAGCCCAUCAUCGGAAGUACCCCGGUUGGCAACUUACAAUAAUACAUACUUCACUGGGGCUUCCUUCUUCCAACCACAAAAGAUAUGCAGAGCCAUGCAACUGGAGAUCUUCCAGUAUGAGACCUUCAGGAGGCAUGCUAGGAAUUACCUGGAGCCUGCUAUUAUCCACAAGUGGAAGACUGAUCAGCUGCAUUGUUGCCAGCAACUACAACACCAGGGGGGAAAGGUCACAGUUGGAGGAGAUAUGAGAGCAGACUCUCCAGGGCACUCAGCCAAGUUCGGGAGCUACACACUCAUGCACCUGGGAAGCAAUACCAUUGUGGACUUCCAGCUUGUUCAGAGCAAUGAAGUAGGUGGUAGUUACCACAUGGAAAAGGAGGGACUCAAAAGACGCCUAGAUCAUCUGGAGUCAAACGAUUUGGCGGUUGAGUACAUUGUGACAGAUCCAGAAGUUUCUGAGGGAACGCAACAUAGAACAAUUCUAUGAUGUGUGGCACUUUGAAAAAGGUUUGUCCAAGAAACUUUCACAGAACAAGGACUGCAAGGUGUUGAAGAGGUGGCCGCACAGCAUAAAAAACCAUGUAUACUGGAGUGCGACGAGCACAACCUCGGGGACGGAGAAGGUGGCACUCAGUGGUCAACCACCUACAAAACAUUCACGUGCAUGAUGACCCCCUAUUCCCCAAGUGUUCACAUCCUGAAAGAGCCUCAAGCGAUGCAAAUAAAUGGCUAAAACCUGGGUCAAUAACAAAGACACACUCAAAGAUGUGCAAAAGCUAAGCCAUCACUACCAGACCUCAUCCCUGGAGUCCUUCCACAGCUUGAUUCUGCGUUUUGCCCCCAAAAAUGUGGUUUUCCCCUUCAUGGGAAUGUUGUGCAAAGAACGACCCUACAUACAUGUACGUGGUGAUGAGGCUUGUGUUUGAGGAAGUCUUUGAGGACCCAACACCCUUUGUGGAUGAGAUGAAUACAAUCCCCAUCCCAAAGGACCUGUCAACUCAAUUUGACAGGCCCUCGAUCAGCAAACUCCUGGCGGGAUGACCACUCUGAUGCCUCGUCCUAAAAAGCCCCAGCACCAGCUUACAAAGCUGCGAUAGGCAAGAUGCCGAAAACGCCUAUAAGGGGAGGAAUGGAUGAUAUACAG